rnacentral:rRNA from 1 species
CGUAGGGUGCGAGCGUUAAUCGGAAUUACUGGGCGUAAAGCGUGCGCAGGUGGUUUUGUAAGACAGAUGUGAAAUCCCCGGGCUCAACCUGGGACCUGCAUUUGUGACUGCAAGGCUAGAGUACGGUAGAGGGGGAUGGAAUUCCGCGUGUAGCAGUGAAAUGCGUAGAUAUGCGGAGGAACACCGAUGGCGAAGGCAAUCCCCUGGACCUGUACUGACGCUCAUGCACGAAAGCGUGGGGAGCAAACAGGAUUAGAUACCCUGGUAGUCCACGCCCUAAACGAUGUCAACUGGUUGUUGGGUCUUUACUGACUCAGUAACGAAGCUAACGCGUGAAGUUGACCGCCUGGGGGAGUACGGCCGCAAGGUUG